rnacentral:rRNA from 1 species
AUGAACGCUGGCGGCGUGUCUUAGGCAUGCAAGUCGAACGCGUGUAGCAAUACACGAGUGGCAAACGGGUGAGUAAGACAGUGGUAAUCUACCUUGAGGUCUUGAAUAACUCUUCGAAAGAGGGGCUAAUACAAGAUGGACAGGGGGGGGCAUAUGCCAUUCCCUUGUAAAGAUUUAUCGCCUCAAGAGGAGCCUUUGGCCUAUCAGCUUGUUGGUGAGGUAACAGCUCACCAAGGCGAUGACGGGUAGCGGGUGUGAGAGCACGACCCGCCUCACUGGGACUGAAAUACUGCCCAGACUCCUACGGGAGGCUGCAGUCGAGAAUCUUCCCCAAUGGACGAAAGUCUGAGGGAGCGACGCCGCGUGAAUGAAGAAGCCCUUCGGGGUGUAAAAUUCUUUUCUCUGGGAAAAACUAGCGAUGGUACCAGAGGAAUAAGAGGCUGCUAACUUCGU